UCGGCCCCCCGCCGGCAUCCUCAGGCCCGGCCCCGGGAGGCGCCCGGGGUCCGCGGGGGCCCCAGCUCCCCUUCCUCACCUAAAAUUCUCGCCGCGCCCCCUCCCUCCCUGGCGCCUGGAGCCGCGUCAAGCCGCGGUCCCUUGCCUGGACCUGGGCGGCGCGCGGCCCUCUCCCGCCCCCUGCUUGGGUUCCUGCGCCCCUAGUCCUAGCUCCCCUCUUUUGUAUCCCCCUUUAAUCCCCCUCCCCCCAUUCAACCCAACUUCAGCCCCUGCGCUGCGCCCCCCUUCUCUGGCCCAGCUCUAUUGGCCGCUUUCUGAGCUGUCAGACUUGAGUCCGGCGCUCUUAUUGGGCGAUUCUCUGGCCCAGCGGCCGUGCCAAAGGAGGGCGCACAGGGCGGGGGACGCCUGGGCAGCGACUGCCGCUGGGAGCCGGAGACCAGAGUCCCUGGAGGGGCCGGAGGGGCCCGAAAGCCAGACCCGGAAAUGGACGGGGGAGAUGGAGAGACUGAAGAUCGCUGAGGCGCGGGAAGACAGGGACGGAAAAGAUGGAGAUACAGUGGUUAUAAAUGCGGAAACUGAAGCUCCGAGAGCUUACUCAACGUGCCAUGGGUCACACAGGUCUGCUAACUUGCGACGGACAGAUCUUUCGUCAGUGCCAGGCUGCCUCCCCUACCUAGCAAGGUGUCAGCGGGAAGGAUGCGCACCAGAGCAAGGUGGAGCCCCCGCUGGAGAGGGCCAGGGGAGGGGGCAGAGAAUACCAGAUACUCCUGUGCGGCACCAGCGACAGAGGCACGAGUGGAAAGAAGGACUUGACUCUGUCUGCAGAGCU